GCGGGGCCGGGGCGGGGCGGGGCGAGGGGGCGGGGCGCCCGGGCGGUGACGUCACCGCAUGACUGGGUUUUUAUGAAUGAAAGGAAUCCUGUGAGUGAGUAAUUCCGGGAAGCUCGCCUUACAACUUCGCUGGGUCCCGGCCCCCCGCGCCGCCCGCGGGACAACAAAACGGCGCGCGCUCCCGGGAGCCGGGCUGCGAGCGGCCGGCGGCGGGACCGGAGGGAGGUGGCCCGGCGGGACGGCGGCUGGACCCGCGCGGCCAGGGGCGCCAGGCGGAGCGGGGCCGCGAGGCGGGUCUCCAGCGCAGAAGGUGCCUUCUGCAGACAUGUCUGUGGACCCCUUAUCCAGCAAAGCCCUCAAGAUCAAGCGCGAGCUGAGCGAGAACACGCCGCACCUGUCGGACGAGGCGCUGAUGGGCCUGUCGNNNNNNNNNNNNNNNNNNNNNNNNNNNNNNNNNNNNNNNNNNNNNNNNNNCACGACGGAGGCUGGUGGGGUUGGAGCAGACUGAGUGAGGGGAGCCCAGCAGGAAGGGAAGGCGGAGAGGGGUGUGUCGGGGGCAGAUCGCGGGUGCCCUGUCGGCCAUUAGGGUGACUUUGUCUUUUACUCCAAGGGAGGUGGGAGCCAUAGAAGGAUUGAGAGAAGUGACACAAUCUGCCUUAACACCCAGCCAUCUGGUGUCCCUCAUGGGAAAACUGAGGCAUAGAGACCUACCAAAGUCCCACAGCUUAUGAGUGGGGCGGCCUCCUAGCAGGCCCCAAAGUCCGUGCGCUUCUAUUUCACCGCAGCAUCUCCGGGAGACUCCAGGUCCUGUCAGGUGUCAGAGGCAGAGCUGUGCCUGAGAGAUGGGUGCCACAGGCAGCGCGAGGACCAGGGCCCGGACGCGGGCUCGUGCCCCUCUCUAGCAAACCGAAUGCUGCUGAGGUUGUCCCCCUGCCCUCCCCCAGGGGUUUUCAUAUGGAGAAACUCAGGCUGCCACCGCAUGGGAGGAGAUAGAUCAGCUGAGGGUGGAGAGGAUGGCUGCUUUAAAGGGGUCUUUGGGAGGAGGCCCCCUCCCAGCCCAGCACAACCAUGGCCCCUAGAAUGUACCCUCCACGAGUUUUCAGUUGCCUGUCUCCCCAGUGCCAAGCAAAUAGUAGAUGCUCAGUAAAUAUUUGUUAAACGAACACAGAGGCUUUCUGGCCUUGACUGGGCCCCUGCCCAGGCUAGGUUACGACUCCCACGUCUGCCAGGGGCAGUGCUGAGUUAGUGCCAGGCGCCAGGGGAGGGUGGCUGGGGGAGCGCCUA
rnacentral:lncRNA from 1 species